rfam:Eubacterium sp. 3_1_31 genomic scaffold supercont1.1, whole genome shotgun sequence.
GGUUUCGUGAGAAAUUGUAUGAAGGAGUUAUGGGUAACCGAGAGGCCCACAGACGGAUUGGCAGGCCGAAAUGUAAAGUGAACUAUAUAGGCGGCGGGAAUACUUGGCGACCAUGCGAAAAAAUGGGAAGUCUAUGUACUAAUCUUCUUCAAUGAAUUGGAUGAGAAGAUAGGAGUAUUAACGUGAUGAUAGUUGGCAUGUCAGUAAGGAUA